rnacentral:rRNA from 1 species
AGCGAACGCUGGCGGCAUGCUUAACACAUGCAAGUCGCACGAGGGGGCAACCCCUAGUGGCGGACGGGUGAGUAACGCGUAGGUAUUUAUCCUGAGGUGGGGGAUAACAGCGGGAAACUGCUGCUAAUACCGCAUGACACCCAAGGGUCAAAGGCGCGAGUCGCCUUAGGAGGAGCCUGCGUCCGAUUAGUUAGUUGGUGGGGUAAUGGCCUACCAAGACUUCGAUCGGUAGCUGGUCUGAGAGGAUGAUCAGCCACAUUGGGACUGAGACACGGCCCAAACUCCUACGGGAGGCAGCAGUGGGGAAUAUUGGACAAUGGGCGAAAGCCUGAUCCAGCAAUGCCGCGUGGAUGAAGAAGGUCUUCGGAUUGUAAAGUCCUUUUCGACGGGGACGAUGAUGACGGUACCCGUAGAAGAAGCCCCGGCUAA